rnacentral:rRNA from 1 species
CAAUAAAAAUAAAGUAUUAUUUCCCGAUAAAAAAAAGAUCUAUACAAAAAUUAAUAAUAGUUAGAGCUCUACAAUGUAGAAUUAUUGUCUAAAAAGGUUUGUAUAGUAGUGAAAUACUCUCAGUUUUUUAGAUAUCUGGAUUAAGUUUAAAUGAAUAUAGUUCUUUACAUAAUCGAAGAGUUAUAAGAUUCUUUGAGUGGUAGAAUUAUAAGUUAAAAGUUCUAUUGGAAUAAUUUUCUAAGUCUUAUUAUAAAAUAAUAUAUAUAUUUAAGCAGACAUCUAACUACUAAACUUGUGUUCAUUUUAGUAAUUAUAAUGGAUUAAUAAUGUUUCAAUUAGUAUUUAAAUAUAUCCUUAAAAGGAACUCGGCAAAAAUUCUCCUCAACUGUUUACCAAAAACAUAGCUUAGAGAAAUUUUUUUUUAUUCUAGGUGACUUCUGCCCAGUGAAUAUAUUUAACGGCCGCAGUACACUGACUGUGCUAAGGUAGCAUAAUAAUUUGGCUUUUAAUUGGGGUCGGGUAUGAAAGGAAUUAUGGGGAGUGUCUGUCUCUUUUUGAUAAAUAAAAGUUACUAAGAAAGUGAAAAUUCUUUCAAAUACUAUGUAAGACGAGAAGACCCUAAGAAUUUUUAUAAAUUAUAGACUUUAAUACUAUUAAAAUUUUUGUUGGGGCAACAACUUUGGUUAACCAAAGCUCAUUAUAUAAUAUACAACAAAUUAUUUUAAGAAAGAUUUAAAUUACCUUAGGGAUAACAGCAUAAUUAAUUAUUAGAUUGUGACCUCGAUGUUGGACUAAGGACUUAAUUAAAUAGUCUUUAAUUAAGCAAGUUCUGUUCGAACUACUUUACCUUA